UACGUAGGGGGCAAGCGUUGUCCGGAAUCACUGGGCGUAAAGGGUGAGUAGGCGGUUAUUUAAGUUGGGUGUGAAGUCCCCGGGCUUAACCUGGGAAUCGCACUCAAAACUGGGUAACUAGAGUGUCGGAGAGGAAAGCGGAAUUCCUGGUGUAGCGGUGAAAUGCGUAGAUAUCAGGAGGAACACCGGUGGCGAAGGCGGCUUUCUGGACGAUAACCGACGCUGAGGCACGAAAGCGUGGGGAGCAAACAGGAUUAGAUACCCUGGUAGUCCACGCUGUAAACGAUGAAUACUAGGUGUAGGGGGUGUAUACUCUCUGUGCCGCAGCUAACGCAAUAAGUAUUCCGCCUGGGGAGUACGGUCGCAAGACUAAA
rnacentral:rRNA from 1 species